rnacentral:rRNA from 1 species
UACGUAGGGGGCUAGCGUUGUCCGGAAUCAUUGGGCGUAAAGAGCGUGUAGGCGGCCCGGUAAGUCCGCUGUGAAAGUCGGGGGCUCAACCCUCGAAUGCCGGUGGAUACUGUCGGGCUAGAGUGCGGAAGAGGCGAGUGGAAUUCCUGGUGUAGCGGUGAAAUGCGCAGAUAUCAGGAGGAACACCGGUGGCGAAGGCGGCUUUCUGGACGACAACUGACGCUGAGACGCGAAAGCGUGGGGAGCAAACAGG